UUUCUCCGGAUAUAGGCCCGAGAGCGGGACUGUUGGGUCAUAGGGUAACUCUACUUCCAGUCUUUUGAGGAAUCUCCAUACUGUUUUCCACAGUGGCUGCACCAAACAGCAUUCCCACCAGCAGUGUAGGAGGAUUCCCUUUUCUCCACACCCUCUCCAGCAUUUAUCCUUCGUGG